rnacentral:rRNA from 1 species
GUGGGGAAUAUUGGGCAAUGGGCGAAAGCCUGACCCAGCAACGCCGCGUGAAGGAAGAAGGUUUUCGGAUCGUAAACUUCUAUCCUUGGUGAAGAUAAUGACGGUAGCCAAGAAGGAAGCCCCGGCUAACUACGUGCCAGCAGCCGCGGUAAUACGUAGGGGGCAAGCUGUGUCCGGAAUGAUUGGGCGUAAAGGGCGCGUAGGCGGCCCGGUAAGGCUGAAGUGAAAGUCCUGCUUUUAAGGUGGGAAUUGCUUUGGAUACUGUCGGGCUUGAGUGCAGGAGAGGUAAGCGGAAUUCCCGGUGUAGCGGUGAAAUGCGUAGAGAUCGGGAGGAACACCAGUGGCGAAGGCGGCUUACUGGACUGUAACUGACGCUGAGGCGCGAAAGUGUGGGGAGCAAACAGGAUUAGAAACCCGUGUAGUCC